CCCAGUCCAGGAGCACAGAUUCUAUAAAAGAAACCUUUGCAAUGAAAUCUGAACUGCAUUGCACCAGACAGGACAGCAAGAUGGUAGUGCCCCAGAAUCCAACCCUGUUGGCUCUGGCUCUGUUGCUCUGGGUCGCUGGUGUGUGUGGUGACAUUGUGAUGACCCAGUCUCCAGGCUUUCUGGCAGUGUCUGCUGGAGAGAGCAUCACCAUUCACUGCAAGUCCAGCCAGAGUCUUCUACAUAGUUAUAUCAGUGAGAAUCUCUUAUCCUGGUACCAGCAGAAACCAGGACAAUCUCCCAAACUGCUCAUCUACUGGGCAUCCUCCCGGGUAUCUGGAAUCCCAGACCGGUUCAGUGGCAGUGGUUCUGGCAUGGAUUUCACUCUCACCAUCAGCAAUGUGCAGGCUGAAGAUGUGGCAUAUUAUUACUGCCAGCAGGGUAUUAGUGCUCCUCCCACUGUGAUUCAGCCUCGAACAUAAACUUCCUCUCAGGAUCUCGCCAGCUGCCUAUUCCCCACUUACCCCAGGGCUUCAGCACUUCCUCCUGCUCCCCGAGAGACUUCACUGGUGCACGCUUGAGUUAUUUUGCAGAAGUUUAUUGAACAUAAAGCAUCUCAGUGUCUCUUUACUCUUUUGUACUUGGAAGGCCAUAUGGGAAAUGUAGUAAAAAUUUCUAUUUCUUGUGUAUUAAUAAUUCAAUGGCAUUAGAAUAUAAAAGCCAUCAUUUUAACUCUUUAGGGUAAAUAUGUGGGAAGGAAAUAUUAGGGUCAAAGACAGUCUAGUUCUAUAUUUGAGGAAUCUGCAUGCUGAUUUUCAUAGUGUUUAUACUAAUAUGCACUACUAUAAACAGCAGAGAAGGCGUCUUGUUCUCUAUAGCCUCACCAGCAUUUGUUAUUGAUUCAUUUCUACAUAAUGGAGAUUUUUUCUGGAAUGUGAUGAAAUUUUAGUAUUGAUUUGAUUUACAUUUCCUGAAUGAUCAUUGAUGUUAAACAUUGUCCCAUGUACUUAUUUGUUGUUUGUAUUUCUUCUCCUAGAAAUGUGCUCAUUUCAGAGGCUUAUUUUUGGAUUGGGUCACAGCAAUAUAUGCACACCUUUGUAAAUGGCACAGUUUGUGACAACUAAGUGUUGGGAAUAGUCUACAUGUUUAUUAGAAGAAGAAUGCAUAUAGAAAAUGUGGUGUUUCUACACAAUGGAGUAAUAUGCUGCCAUAUAGAACCAUAGACUUGAGACAUAUUUGGGUAAAUGUGUGCAGCCUGAGAACACAAUAAGUGAAAUAUGUGAGACAUACACAUUUUAAGAUUGCAGUAUUUCUCUGGGGUGAGAAAGUCACAGUCAAAUUAAGAAGCAAACCAGAAGACAGAUUUAGACCAGCAGCAUAAGUAGAAAGAAAGUGUUCAAAUGGCAAGGUGAACACAGGAGGGACAUGGGGUUGGAAAAGAAGGGCAUGUGAUUAAAAAUUUUUAAAAAAAUAAUGGAAGGAAGGCAAUAGGAAUAAAAUUCUGUAAAUGGAGAAGGAAAGAAUGAUUGAAAGGAAGGGAAUGGGUAAAAAAGAUGAAGUACAAUAUAUUAUGUACAGGUACAAAUUUUCUAGGUUGAAUGUAAUUAUUACGUAUGUCAAAUGUUACUUAUAAAAUUCCUUUAAAGAAAAAAUUCCUGUUUGGAGCCUCCCGGAAAAAAAAAAAAUUAUUCCCUUGACUUUCUUGGGGCUUGAAGUCUUCUGCUUUUCUUGGCCAGAAGCCUUUCUCCUCCAAAUUCAGAGCCAGCAGAGAUGUAGCUCUCUAACAUUGGUUCCAGCAUCAUAUUUUCCUUUGCAUUUCCCUUCUCUAACUUCACACUAAUUAGUAUAAUUGUGUGCUUAGUUGAGCCUGCCCUCCAGUUCCCUCAUCUCUCAUGAGUCAACCAAUUUCAGUGCCUUGGGAGGGGAAAUUUUGAGUCUCUAUGGGAACAGGGUACUAAGUGCACUCUUUUACAAGAUAAGGACAAUGAAAUUAAUGAGUUGACAGACACUCAAUGAAAAGGUAAAUAAAUGUAUUUCCUGUAAGAAAUAAAAUAAAAGAACAAGAGCCUAUGAGA